AUAUACAUUUUUCCAUCUUUUAAAAUAAAAUUACAUUCAAGCCCCCAUGCCCUUUUCCUUCUUCGUCCCCGAUGUCACCCCCUUCCUCCUCCUCCCUACCUCCAUUUCCGCCGCUUGCAUCUCCAACAAGCCACCGAAAAUUUCUUUCUUCUCCCUCUUGUCGACGGCGCCGCCCUUUUCUUCGUCUUUUCUCGCCGUUUGACGUCGAGCUCGGGGAGAGAGUUGCUCCUCCUUGCUAUCGCUGCAAGUGCAGCCUCCUGUCGCCCCUUUCUCACAAAUCCGACGAUGAAUUCGUGCUACCCACCGUCACAAACCCCCAGGUCAAGUCUUCCCCGCCAUUUUUCCUCGAUGGAAGUUGGAGGUGUAAUCUCACCGGAGCAGUGCCUUUCCAACCGCGAUCCGGCAUCCUCCGACAAGAGUUGGUCGUGAUUUUAGUAUUUUCGACUCCCGUAGCUCAAGCUUAGUGUAGGCGUCUCCAUAUUCAAAUUCUGACACUAUUGGCGGCACCGGUUUUCGGAUCCGGUAUUUUUUAGAUGCACAGAGCUUAGAUUUUUAGGCUAGAUAAUCUACCAGCCUAGCUAGCUCCACUCGAGACAUAGGAGCAGACAGCGAAACUCAGCAGAACUGAUGAGACAAUAGUAGAACGUGCACCUGAUGGGUUUGCAUCAGGACUGUGCACACAGGUGGAAAUCAGAGUCAGGUAAUCUAGGAAUAUUCGGUGAUGUGCCCUAGUCGAGCACAACUCUCUAGACUUAUAGGAUUUGAUUUGCCGGAGAAAGGUCCCUAGUCGAGCGUUGCUCUCUAGGCGCCGGCUGUAUUGGUAUUUAAGUGACUAGACUAGACUUAAGGACCUUGGUCGAGCAUUGCUCUCUAGGCGCCAGUCUUAUUGGAAUAAGAGAGUCGAAAUGCUGUUAGAAUUGGGGUAUAAAGUUCUGCUGAAGUACUCGUCCUGUAUGUGUUAAAAAUUGCAAUUAUUCUAAAAUUACGAUAUGACAUGCAUUUAUUAUUUUGUGAUAUUCUAUACUAUUAAAUAUUUAUUUUAUA